rnacentral:rRNA from 1 species
GGGAUUGCCCUAGUAACGGCGAGUGAAGCGGCAACAGCUCAAAUUUGAAAUCUGGCUCUCUUAGGGUCCGAGUUGUAAUUUGCAGAGGAUGCUUUGGCAUUGGCGGCGGUCUAAGUUCCUUGGAACAGGACAUCGCAGAGGGUGAGAAUCCCGUACGUGGGCGCCUGCCUUUGCCGUGUAAAGCUCCUUCGACGAGUCGAGUUGUUUGGGAAUGCAGCUCUAAAUGGGAGGUAAAUUUCUUCUAAAGCUAAAUACCGGCCAGAGACCGAUAGCGCACAAGUAGAGUGAUCGAAAGAUGAAAAGUACUUUGGAAAGAGAGUCAAAAAGCACGUGAAAUUGUUGAAAGGGAAGCGCUUGCAGCCAGACUUGCCCGCAGUUGCUCACCUAGGCUUUGGCCUGGGGCACUCUUCUGUGGGCAGGCCAGCAUCAGUUUGGGCGGUUGGAUAAAGGCCUCUGUCACGUAUCUCCCUUCGGGGUGACCUUAUAGGGGAGGCGUAAUGCAACCAGCCCGGACUGAGGUCCGCGCAUCUGCUAGGAUGCUGGCGUAAUGGCUGUAAGCGGCCCGUCUUGAAACACGGACCAAGGAGUCUAACAUCUAUGCGAGUGUUUGGGUGUCAAGCCCGGGCGCGCAAUGAAAGUGAACGGAGGUGGGAACCCUUUGGGUGCACCAUCGACCGAUCCUGAUGUCUUCGGAUGGAUUUGAGUAAGAGCAUAGCUGUUGGGACCCGAAAGAUGGUGAACUAUGCUUGAAUAGGGU